rnacentral:rRNA from 1 species
UACGUAGGUGGCGAGCGUUAUCCGGAAUUAUUGGGCGUAAAGAGCGCGCAGGUGGUUGAUUAAGUCUGAUGUGAAAGCCCACGGCUUAACCGUGGAGGGUCAUUGGAAACUGAGGGACUUGAGUACAGAAGAGGAGAGUGGAAUUCCACGUGUAGCGGUGAAAUGCGUAGAGAUGUGGAGGAACACCAGUGGCGAAGGCGGCUCUCUGGUCUGUAACUGACGCUGAGGUGCGAAAGCGUGGGUAGCAAACAGGAUUAGAUA